GGUAAUAUGGCUGAGAAUAGGCGGCGGAUUGUAAUCCCGACCACAAAGGUUUAAUUCCUUUUUUUACC
rnacentral:tRNA from 1 species